rnacentral:rRNA from 1 species
GACGAACGCUGGCGGCGUGCUUAACACAUGCAAGUCGAACGAUGAAGCCCUUCGGGGUGGAUUAGUGGCGAACGGGUGAGUAACACGUGGGCAAUCUGCCCUGCACUCUGGGACAAGCCCUGGAAACGGGGUCUAAUACCGGAUACGAGCUUCCUCCGCAUGGUGGGAGUUGGAAAGCUCCGGCGGUGCAGGAUGAGCCCGCGGCCUAUCAGCUUGUUGGUGAGGUAGCGGCUCACCAAGGCGACGACGGGUAGCCGGCCUGAGAGGGCGACCGGCCACACUGGGACUGAGACACGGCCCAGACUCCUACGGGAGGCAGCAGUGGGGAAUAUUGCACAAUGGGCGAAAGCCUGAUGCAGCGACGCCGCGUGAGGGAUGACGGCCUUCGGGUUGUAAACCUCUUUCAGCAGGGAAGAAGCGAAAGUGACGGUACCUGCAGAAGAAGCGCCGGCUAACUACGUGCCAGCCGCCGCCGUAACAC